CAGGUAACCCCUGUCUCCAAGCCUCAGCUUUCUCACCUGUAAAAUAGGCGUGCUAAUGACAGGAUCUGCUUCCGAGGGUUCAGGAGGAUUAAAGGAGUUAACACGUAAAACACGCAGAACAGCGCUUGGCCCAUAACGUGCGCCCGGGGCCACUCUUAUCUACAAAAUGAGCGCAGCCAAUUCACAGUUUAGCUGGCGGAUUGGCUUGCCUUGGGGCCAGAUGCCCGGCCCCGUCCCGUCCCGGCAUCUCAGCAAACUGGCCACGAAGUGAGAAUUCCUGUAAAAAAAGCUUGCAUUUCCAGUCUCCUGUCGCAGUAUCAAAGUGAAAACAGAAAUUGGAGGUGAUUUUGUUGAGGUUUUUCGCGUUUCAUCAGAACUUCCGCUGGUCACAGAGGAACUGAAGGAAUGACCAACCCUGUGUUCCCCUGCGCUUUCCCCUUUUUCCCGUUCCAGAGCCUUUUUCCCACCUCUGUUUCCAAAUUCUGUCCUUCUUCUGAAUUCUCUCUUGGUUCCUCUCAUGUCUCUGCCCAGGACUUUUUUAUUCCUUUUUUCUUCCCAACCUCUAACAUUUUAAUGAAAAAAUGUAAGCAUACAGAAAAGUCAUAAAGAUGGUACAACGAUAGUUAUAUACCUUACACCUAGAUUCGAAAAUUCCCCUUUGCUAUAUUUGCUUUCUCUUUUUUCUUCCUCUCUUCUUUUCUCCCUCUCCUUGAGGAGAAUAAGAACAAUUCCCUACAGAACUCCAUACCAUUACUGCCCCUAAUAAAAUCAGCAGUAAUUCCA